rnacentral:rRNA from 1 species
UACGUAGGGUGCGAGCGUUGUCCGGAAUUAUUGGGCGUAAAGGGCUCGUAGGCGGUUUGUCGCGUCGGGAGUGAAAUCCACUGGCUUAACUGGUGGCUUGCUUUCGAUACGGGCAGACUGGAGGUAUGCAGGGGAGAACGGAAUUCCUGGUGUAGCGGUGAAAUGCGCAGAUAUCAGGAGGAACACCGGUGGCGAAGGCGGUCUGCUGGGCCAAGACUGACGCUGAGGCGCGACAGCGUGGGGAGCAAACAGG